ACGAACGCUGGCGGCGUGCUUCACACAUGCAAGUCGCACGGAAAGGCCCUGCUUUUGUGGGGUGCUCGAGUGGCGAACGGGGGAGUAACACGUGAGUAACCUGCCCUUGACUUUGGGAUAACUUCAGGAAACUGGGGCUAAUACCGGAUAGGAGCUCCUGCUGCAUGGUGGGGGUUGGAAAGUUUCGGCGGUUGGGGAUGGACUCGCGGCUUAUCAGCUUGUUGGUGGGGUAGUGGCUUACCAAGGCUUUGACGGGUAGCCGGCCUGAGAGGGUGACCGGCCACAUUGGGACUGAGAUACGGCCCAGACUCCUACGGGAGGCAGCAGUGGGGAAUAUUGCACAAUGGGCGGAAGCCUGAUGCAGCAACGCCGCGUGCGGGAUGACGGCCUUCGGGUUGUAAACCGCUUUCGCCUGUGACGAAGCGUGAGUGACGGUAAUGGGUAAAGAAGCACCGGCUAACUACGUG
rnacentral:rRNA from 1 species